UGGCGGACGGGUGAGUAAUGUCUGGGAAACUGCCCGAUGGAGGGGGAUAACUACUGGAAACGGUAGCUAAUACCGCAUAACGUCGCAAGACCAAAGAGGGGGACCUUAGGGCCUCUUGCCAUCGGAUGUGCCCAGAUGGGAUUAGCUAGUAGGUGGGGUAACGGCUCACCUAGGCGACGAUCCCUAGCUGGUCUGAGAGGAUAACCAGCCACACUGGAACUGAGACACGGUCCAG
rnacentral:rRNA from 1 species